AGUUAUUCUGUAACAAAAAAAUGUCACAAACACCUAUAUAAAUCACGUUUUUAUUUUUAUAGGUAUUUUAUGUUCAAAUUUGGAGGAAAUAACUUGUUAAAUAACGUCAGAUAUGAUUAAACAGAUGGUUUAAUUAAUGGUUGUACUUUUCGUCAGAUACGAUUAAAUAGAAAUCUAUGGCGCUCUGGUGGUAAUAGCCAAUAGAACCGUCAUGGGUCUUCACUGGUCAUUUAUCUUCACUGAAUGACCAAUUAAUUGACCAUCGCCGUGUAAUACAUGGUCGUAUAUAAUAUGGUCGUUAACUUGUGGAAGGGCACUCUGAGAAAUUUUGGUUCAAAUAAGGCGUCGCGCAUUAAAAAAUAGUUUGGGAAUCUCCGAUGUAUUUCUGUUUAAAAAUAACCAAUGAUAGGAUGGAACAAAUAUUAAGAGCUGUACUAAAAACUUAAUAACAUGUUGAAGAUAAUGGCGAAUAAUUUGAUAAAAUUGAAAGUUUUUUUUUAUAUAAUUUGACAUUUUGCAGUAAAAAGAAUCAACACAAAUUCUUAUGGAGUAGAAACUAAACAUUUUGAAAUUACACAUGAAUCAAAAAUUACAAAGAAAUCUACUAAGGAACCUAUAGAUGCUAAAUCAUUGCCACACCUAUAAAAAAUAUACUUCUUACAUAUAUGCGAUCAUGUAUAUGACGGCGAUGGUCAGUUAAUUGGUCAUUCAUCAUAGUUAAAUGACCAGUGAAAACCCGUGACGGUUCAAUCGGGUAUUACCGCCAUAACACCAUAGAUUUCUAUUUGAUCGUAUCUGACGAAACGUACCUACAACUAUCGAU